rnacentral:rRNA from 1 species
GGUUCCUACGAGGGGCAGCAGUGAGGAAUAUUGGUCAAUGGACGAGAGUCUGAACCAUCCAAUUAUCUUUAAGGAUGACUGCCCUAUGGGUUGUAAACUUCUUUUAUAUGGGAAUAAAAUGUUCCACGUGUGGGAUUUUGUAUGUACCAUAUGAAUAAGGAUCGGCUAACUCCGUGCCAGCAGCCGCGGUAAUACUGAUUAUCCGAGCUUUAUCCGUAUUUAUUGUUUUUAAAUUUAUCUUAUUUUUAUUUUUAAUUCAUUUUUGAAAGUUUGCGGCUCAACCGUAAAAUUGCAGUUGAAACUGG